rnacentral:rRNA from 1 species
GUCUACGGCCAUGCAACCCUGAACAUGUCCGAUCUCGUUUGAUCUCGGAAGCUAAGCAGGGUCUGGCCUGGUUAGUAUCUGGAUGGUACCCCACCUAGGAAGCCAGGUGCUGUAGACG